AAUAUUAUAAUAGUAUUACUAUUAUAAUAUUAUUCUAUUUAUAAUAAUAUUUAAAUAUUAUUCUAUUUAUAAUGAGAUGUGUUAAGAUGCUGACUGAUGGGUAACCGACAAGAUUCAAGAGGCACAGUAACCUGAGGCCAUCGGAUGAGGGCUCUGCACCCUGUCCCUUCUCAUCAAAGCACGACAAGUCCUGUCACCAUUUUGUCAGUGGGAACACGCGUGCUCCAGGGGGUUAGGUAAUGAAUGCACAGCCAAACACACUUGCUGUGAUGGGAGUGCUGACCACAGAGCCCUGUGACUACGGUCUGUGUGUUCUACCGUCUGUAACAGCGUCUCUAGCUGCCCUAGCAGCCCCAUGAUGCUGUAUUGUUGCCCCAUUUUACUGGGGACACUUGAACCAGUGGGGUCUGGUGCCCAAAUCAAAGGUCACUAAUUCUCAGAGCAUCCCAAGUAAUUGCUUGGAGGAAGUAAGUUAUAAUGAAACCAACAGACCCUGCAAAGUAUGGAAUGCACAACCUGGCGAUGGUAGGUGGGGUGGGGGGGGAGGUGUGGUGCAGGGGACCCCCUGUGGCUUGCGGCUCACUGAUGCUUAAGAGGAGCCCAGGGCUGGAGGCCUUAAGGCUCUAGGUACUAAGAAACCACAGAAAGCACGUGGGGGUGGGGCUCUGUGUUACAGCACACCACAGUGGAAUUUUCCAAAUAGCCUUGUUUUUUAAAGGCAUCGCCCCGUUGCCUUCUGCUGCCGCCACCCUCAGAAAGCGAAACCCGAUUUAGAAGCUGCGGGAUCAGGUCUCCCGUGGGAGCCACGUGAGAUGGGUGCAGAGGGCAGAGGUGGCAGGGGAUACAGAUGCUUCUCACGCCCGAUCAUCCACUGCGGGAAACUCUCCCGCCCCUUCCACGCGUGAGGCUCCCCGGAAGCACCUCGAACUCUGUCAAGUCCUCCCCUUUGCACCUGCUCUGCCCUCUGCCUGGACCUCCUGGGAUUCCCUUCUCCUCUACUUCCUAGUCCCCUCUGUUACCAGGUCCCCAGCGGGUAGCCAGGGCCCACACGGAGGAGGGGGAAGAGCGUAGCCUGCCUGAGCCCUGCGCAGUGUGUGUCUACCCUCUUCGUCCUCGCAGUCGCCCAUGUCGCCGAGAAGAACUGAGGCUCACGCGGGGGAACGUUACAUGCCCACGGCCCCAUAGCUGCGAAGGACACCAGCAGGAUUGGCAGCCAGGCCGUCUGGCUCCGGGUAACAUACGAUGUGGUGCUUGUUUGGUGAUGACGGACGGGACACCUGGGGCUCUGAUGCCCAGCUGAUACCCGGUGCGCGCCUGAACGAGGUCCACCUCUGCCCUUCAAGGUCUCAGAAGUCUCCAGGAAAAGCCUUCAGCUUCUGCCGGGUCGCGCUGAUUCUCUGAGCACUGGCUGCCCACUCCCUCCUACGGAGGCUCCAUGUGAGAGUAAUAGCCACCGUGGAAAAUCUGGUGAAUGCAGAUGGGUCCGCAGAAGAAAAUACACGGUGCCUGCCACCCUCCCUUCCAGAGAGAGCCACUGGCGUGGGAGCCACUCAGACGUCCCCUUUGUCUUCUUUCCCUAUGGACUACCCUCUGUGAGUAACAGUCAGCCCCGAUGCGGUCCUUCUCUGCUGCUUAUUCGGUGCAAGCCGCCUCUGUGAGCUGCACCUUCCUCAUCUCUGAAAUAGAGCUUAAAAAGCGUUUCCUCCCCCGUGGGACAGUGUGAAGUCGAGUGCAGCAGUGAAUGUGGAGUGGUGUAGCCGGCGGGGCGGCAGGUGCUUGGUAGACAGUGGCUGCUGUGUGACGAUGAGCAGAGUGUCUGUAGGCUAUUCAUUUCUCUUUAUCGCCCUCCGACGUCACAGCCCAACCUCUUGCUCUCCGGAUGCAGAAACUGAGGCCCAGGGAGGAGAGGGUUACAGGAGUGAAGAUGAGAACCCAGCCUUCUCCUCUCCUGCCUGGGACCCACCAUGGCCGGGCACGGCCUUAGAACAUCUAAUCCUACCCCUUCUGGGCUGUGGCCCCUGCAGUAAAGAGUGAAGUUUCUCGAAGGCGCCUGCUUCCCCACAAAGCCUGCCUGUUCGUCUGAGAUGGUUGGCAAAGCAUUGCUUUUGCAUAAAUGACACUGGUUCUCGAGCCCCAGUGGUCUCUCUGGAGAGUCUAGGGAGGCGGGGCUGCUUCUCUGUCAGAGGUUUUAGAACAUCUUCCUGGUGUGAGACAAUGUUUUGUGAACUUCCACGGAAAGCACUGGGUGUAAAAUCAAACCUAUGGAAUGGUGUUGACUGUGAAACAUGCCUAUAGAAAUUAGCCUGUGGUGGGGUUUUACCACAUACAUGUUAUAAUUUGUUAACUUUCAAAAUUUCUACAAUCUUAUUUUUUCUUUCUUUCU